ensembl:lncRNA novel transcript
UGAGGCAGCCUUAGCAGGUUCUGGGGAGAGAAGAGGAAACAUGAGCAAACGCACCUUCCAAAUGUCCACCUCUGCCAUGCGGGAUGCAGGCAGGUCCAGGUGGGAGUGUCAGAAACAUGAAGAAAACGUCUCUGAUGGGUGAUCCUUCUAGCUGAGAGCAGCUAGGAAUGUGCUUGCCAUCUGGCUGAAAAGAGUCUCAGGAAGUGUUGGGCUGUUGUCAUUUGGACUGCUUGUCUUUGGUACUGGCCAUGGAGUAGGAGGGGGAUUGACAUUGCUCUCUGACCAGUCUAAUAUUCAAAACCAGAGCAUAUCAGAUCUAGUGAAGAAGUCACAUGGACCCACCAGUUGAUGGCCACAUCCGUGGUUGCCUCCGAAUAAAAAUAAGACAUUUCUCCCAUGUUCCUCAUACUGGAAUACAUUUGAGGAGAUAGGAGAUAUGCAUCAUCGAACCCAAUCCAAAAAUAUGAAAAAUGAAGGAAAAGGUUAGAUUCUGAAAAGCAAAUAAACUAUUGCUAUGGAUAAGG